GCUGAUGAGCAUUUUAUUUUUUAUUAUUCAGGCCGUGUCCCUAACAACAAAGCAGCUUUUGAAUCGCGCGGAUUACACGUUUAAAAAAUAAAUAAUGACGAGCCAGUCAUCUGAACUGUCCUUCUGUACCAAAUAUAAGACUUGGUAUCACCCAUGAAAUCGGUGUCCUGCGGAAAAGUCUGAUGAAUGAGCAAUCCUUAUGUGUCAGGGGAGAAGAGGUAAGUGACCUAUAGACUUGAGGACUCUUGGCUGUUUUGUCAUUCUUCUAAAGGCUGGGUGACCAAGUUAUAUAGAGUUACUGAAAUAGCUUUUUUGGAAAAGGAAAAUAUUUUAUAUGUUUUCCAUAAAGACCAUUAUUUUGUUAAACCACUAAUUUACACAGAGAUUAGGACAGUAUGCUAAAGUCCAUUGGAAUUGUUCUUCCUUCUGAAAGCCCAAACCAAUUUAUCGUUCGAGGGACGCUCCUCUUCCCACUCCAGCCAGGGGUAAAACCCAGACAUGGAGAAGCAAGUGUUGUGCUCUUUUUUCCACAGUGGCAGUCACAAUGUCAGGACCUCAGUGGCAGGAUGCACCUCAGCACAGCAGGUUUUGGGGAAAGAAGAGGACACGUGGAACAAUUACGAUGAGAAAGGAGCAAGCUGCAGAUGGAGAAGGUCUGCAGCUUUCCUUCCUGCUGAGUUACAAACUCACUCCUGCUUUAUUCCUCCACUUGGCACUUCCCUGCCUUGGCUCAGAGCACGUAGGCUUCAUCCUCUUGAUGAUCAGCUGAGGAGCAGAUGGAGGAUCAGAGGAGCAGGAUGGCUGCUUUAUGAGGUGUACCCAUGGCAGCAUUCGUGGAAACAACCAACAAGUGACCACGAGCCAGGAUUUCAAAUGCUGCAAUACCCGAAGUUGGAAUGUAGGGGAAGUCAUAGUCAAAGUCAUAGAACCCAGGGAUCCUGCAGUUUUAAAUUUUUCUCAGCUUUCGUUUAAAGCAAAGUGUCUAAUGUUCAUGUUCUCAAACAAAAGCUUGGAAAUGGGAAGCCUUGAACAUCAAAGAAAAUAAAAGAAUCCAAAACUGAUGAUUUUUUUUAUUU
rnacentral:lncRNA from 1 species